CCGCCGAGCCUCCCGGGCCUGUGCAGACGGCGCGCGCGGCGGGAGGUCGCGGACCAGCGUUCCCAGCCCGACCCCGGGCGAAAGGCAAGCAGAGCGCGGCGGCGCGGGUGGCGGACUGCGGACGGCGCCCACCGGGUCACUCUUGGUGCUGCGAUCUGUUGUGCAUUUGUGGGAGGCAGCCUGAUGUGCUGAAAAGAGCACCCUCUUGAAAGUUGGAUCCAUCUAGGUUAGAAUCCUGUGACUUCUGCUUCCCAGCUCUAUGACCUUGGAC
rnacentral:lncRNA from 1 species